CCCUCCUUGCAACUCCCUUUUCCAUGGCUCACACGCGUGAAGCUCCCUUCAUGGCUGCUCUUCCCCUGUGCAUCUUCACCCGAUUUUUCCCAUGGCUCCGAGCUGCAUCCGGCACGGCUGCGAGUUUGGGACCCCAUGCGACGACGGGGCGACCAUGGCCGGUAUGUGCAAUGUAAUCAUGGGAAGAGCAUAUAAUGUACAAAAGGAGCAGGUAAUAUACCUUCAGACCAAAGCAUUUGACUAAGAAUUCACCAAUAACUCGUGUGAGCAUCACUGCUAAAGACUUCUUUUUCCUAUGCAUGAACCUUUUUGCCUCGUGAACAUACUCAAGGGGAUCAUCUUGCAAGGUUAUAUUAAAUGGGCAGAUGAGACCGGUAAGUUGAUUUCCUGUCUCUACCUUGGUAACAUAUGUCUGUUCAUAGUUGUAAGAAGAAAAUUAAUAUAAUUUGUAGUAUCAGUUAAACAAAUUUGUGAUGAAGCGCGUGUUACUAGGUUUACAUUUGUAUGCCACUCAAUUAGUAUUUACUAUUACUUAUCUGAACCAAGAAAAUAAAGUUCUUACUUGUCUGGUAGAGACAGGCCUUGCGUCGACAAGGACACAUGAACGCAGACCGAUUGUCUUAGUAUUACUGCCACCUAACAUUAAAUAUAAGAAAGCAAAGUGUAAGAAAUGUGUGUCUACAGAACAAACAUCCAUUGUCGUUACCGGAAAAACUACUUACCAGACUUUCUAAAGUAGUAAUGUGAAAGAGCUGCCGAAGUCACACCAACCAGCACGUCGUUGAUAGUCUGUGAAAAUGAAAAGGAGGGACAGAAAUGUCCUAUAUAUGAGUCAAAUGGAGACACGACAUCGAGCAGGGGAGGCACAUUUAUAUACGGCUUGAUUAGGGGGUCAUGGCCAUGCUAUUCAAUAACUAGUCAUGAAACCCACACAUUGUGUGGGCAACAUAUUUAAAGAAAAAUGCAAUUCCAAUUUUAUAUAUUUUUUCAUAAAUUGUUUUGAGGAGACUUUAAAUUGUAGAACUAAUUUUUGUUCUGUUUACCAUGUUAUAUUGUCCACUUUAAAUAUUGUUUUUAGUAUUUAUCUAAAGGUUAUCUUGAAAACUACCAAAGUAAUACGUAGACUUUGUGCUUGUGAUUUAUAUUGAAAAUAUCUGUAAACCUACGAGGGUGACUACAUUUGCGCGUCUAGAUUUCUAAAUAAUAUUCAAAAAAUCAAGUUUUGUAGUCAUUAUUUUCCAAUGUAUAAGUAACAUUAGAACUGGCAUUACCGCGAAGAAACUGGUGAAUAAAAUGAUACUACUUUCACUUGGCCAAUAAUAUUUCUUAUAUUUUUUGGGGGUUAAUAGCCAAAGUUAGAAAAGGACCAAUUGAAUUUUGCUUGGCAUUUAUUCCUGUAAGCUGUUAUCUAUCGUUUAAUAAAUCAUAGAAUAGAUACUACCUAUAAAGGUUAAACGACUUACGUACCCAGUUCAUACUUUGUUUUUGGAGUCCUAUAUUCCAAUUCUGAUUUUAUCAUAAAUUUAUUGUUUUGAGAGGAUUUAAAAUGUACAGUAAUUUUUGAUAUUUUUUCACAUGCCAUAAUAACCAUUUUAAAAUGUUAUUUUCAGCUUUCCUCAAAAAAUUUCUAGAUAACUGCCAACAUAUUACUUAAAAAAAUCAAGUGGUCCUUGCAUCCGUGAUUUCAAUUGCUAUCUCUAAGUAAUUGGAAAAAAAAAAUAUCAGCAGCUAUACGUACGCAAUUCAUGGCAGUUUUGAUGAACUUGACAUCCUCAAAGCUAAGGGUCCGAUGCACGAAACGCUUGCGGCGACGAGUCUCGCUACCGCCUGGUGGACGCAUGAAGAGAGUGGGUGGGUCACUCAAGAACAGUAUUGUCGCGACAAUCAACGCCAUGUCCACAAGUGUGUGCCAAGCCAGCACAAAAUGGGACCAAACCCACGCGAACAGCGCGAGGUAAUCACCCGAAGACAGCGGAGGCCGUGGUGGCAGCUGGUAGAUGGCGCCCGUGCGCUUGGGUGGUGGCGGCAUAGCUGGCAGCCUUGAUGGAUUGACCAUGCUGCGCGAUGAUGCCACCAGGAGUGUUGUGAUGGACAUGCCGUCGCCAAUGGAGUGGUGCAGACGGAGCACCACCGUGGAGGCGGCCUCGGAGGUUGGGAAGUCGAGGAAGUGGAACUCCCAGAGAGGACGGCACCUAUCCAUCGGGAGCAGGGACAGCGAUGCCACAUAGUCCUCCACGGCCUUUUCCGGAUCGGAUGCCACAGCAGCAGCAUCCAGCCUUGGGAUGACGAUGUGGUCAUCCACAUUUACAGCCGUUUGCACCCAUCGCGGGUUGCCAUCCUUGGCGGACUCGUCCAUUACCUGUACAUGCAAAGAAUGAGAUGCAUAAAAUACAACUAUAUUUUCAGUUAAUGCCAUCGUAUAAAUACUCA